rnacentral:rRNA from 1 species
UUUCAAUAAUUAUUUUAUUUUUUUUCUUUUUUUGUUAUUUAAUAAAAGUAUUUUUUUUUUUAGUAUUUUAGAAUUAAUAUAAGUUUAUUAUAGUUUAUUGAUCUGUGAGGGUAAUUUUUUUUGUUAAAAAAGUAUUUUUUAUUUGAAGUACCUUUUGCAUCAGGGUUUAUUAAAUUAAUGGAAUUAUUUUUUUUUCUCGAAAUAUUGAGAUUUAAAAUAAAAUGUUUUUUAUUGUUAUAAAUAUAUAUAUAAUUUUAUUUUAGAGGUUAAAUGCUUUUCAAUCAAUAUGAUAUCUAGUUUAUUAAUAAAUGAAUUUAAUUCAUUUUUAAAUUUGGAUUUAUUAUAAUUUUAUUUAUAAUAAUUUAUUUAAGUUAAACUUUUUGGGGAUAAGCUUGAUUAGUUUUUUAAAAAUUUUGUUUUUAAAAAUUUUUUAUAGGAUUAAUAAUUUUCAUUUUUAUUUUGUUAUAAUUAUUUUUUUUUAAUUAAGAUUUUUAUUUUUUUAAUUUUUUAUUAAUAUUUUUUAAAAAAUUUUUUAUUUAAUUAAUAAUGAUAAAAUUAGUAAUUUUUUUAAUUUAAUUAUAGGAAUUCGGCAAAUUUAAUUUUCACCUGUUUAACAAAAACAUGGUUUUUUGAUUUUUAUAUAAAAUUAGGCCUGCCCACUGAUUUUUAUGAAUUUAAAGGCUGCGGUAUUUUAACUGUACGAAGGUAGCAUAAUCACUUGCCUUUUAAUUGGAGGCUGGAAUGAAUGGUUCAAUGAAAAAUUAACUUUCUUUAAUUAAUUAAUUUGAAUUUAAUUUUUUAGUUAAAAGGCUUAAAUUUUUUUAUAGGACGAGAAGACCCUAUAGAAAUUUAUUUUUUUUAUAAAUUUUUAUUUUUGGUUUUUAUAAAUAUUAAUUUAGAAUGGAAAAUUUUAUUGGGGUGAUAGUAAAAUUUAUUUAACUUUUAUUUUUUAAUUUCAUUAAUUGGUGUAUUUUUGAUCUAAAAUUUUUGAUUAUAAGAAUAAUUUACCUUAGGGAUAACAGCGUAAUUUUUUCGGAGAGUUCUUAUUGAUGAAUAAAGUUUGCGACCUCGAUGUUGAAUUAAGAUAAGAUUUAGGUGUAGAAUUUUAAUUUUCUUGGUCUGUUCGACCAUUAAAUUCUUACAUGAUUUGAGUUCAGACCGGCGUGAGCCAGGUCGGUUUCUAUCCUUAAUUUUUUAUAGGUUAGUACGAAAGGACCACCUAUGACAAUUAAUAUUGUUAUUUAUUUUGAUUAUAAUUAAAAAAAAAAAAAAAAAAU